rnacentral:rRNA from 1 species
GACGGAGGGAGCUAGCGUUGUUCGGAAUUACUGGGCGUAAAGAGCGCGUAGGCGGUUAAUUAAGUUAGACGUGAAAGCCCUAGGCUCAACCUAGGAUGUGCGUAUAAUACUGAUAAACUAGAGGUUGAGAGAGGAAAAUGGAAUUCCUAGUGUAGAGGUGAAAUUCUUUGAUAUUAGGAGGAACACCAGUGGCGAAGGCGGUUUUCUGGCUCAAUACUGACGCUGAGGCGCGAAAGCGUGGGGAUCAAACAGG